UAACUGUGUCGGGUCUCAAGUCAGCAUUGUUAUACUGGUAUUUAACCAGUAUAACAAUGCUGACUUGAGACCCUUUAAGUCUGAAAGU
rnacentral:pre_miRNA from 9 species